rnacentral:piRNA from 1 species
UUCGAAUCCUGUUCGUGACGACAU